CGCGUGGGUGAUCUACCAUUAGGGCAUGGGGAUAGCCAUUAGAAAUAGUGGGUAAUACCGAAUACGCUUGCACAGGUGAAGCUGUGUAAGGAAAGGUGCUACGGCAUCGGCCUAAAGAUGAGCCUGCGUCCCAUUAGCUAGUUGGUGAGGUAAGAGCCCACCAAGGCGAUGAUGGGUAGCCGGCCUGAGAGGGUGUACGGCCACACUGGGACUGAGAUACGGCCCAGACUCCUACGGGAGGCAGCAGCUAAGAAUAUUCCGCAAUGGACGAAAGUCUGACGGAGCGACGCCGCGUGGAUGAAGAAGGCCGAAAGGUUGUAAAAUCCUUUUGCUGGGGAAGAAUAAGUCUGGGAGGGAAUGCUCGGAUGAUGACAUGAACCGGCGAAUAAGCCCCGGCCAACUACGUGCCAGCAGCCGCGGUAACACGUAGGGGGCGAGCGUUGUUCGGAAUUACUGGGCGUAAAGGGCAUGUAGGCGGUUUUGUAAGCUUGGCGUGAAAGUCCACGGCUCAACUGUGGGAUAGCGUUGAGAACUGCGAAGCUUGAGUUAUGGAGAGGGAGCUAGAAUUCCUGGUGUAGGGGUGGAAUCUGUAGAGAUCAGGAAGAAUACCAAUGGCGAAGGCAAGCUCCUGGCCGAUGACUGACGCUGAGGUGCGAAAGUGUGGGGAUCAAACAGGAUUAGAUACCCUGGUAGUCCACACUGUAAACGAUGUGCACUAGGUGCUGGGGCGGAUGCCUCAGAGCCGAAGCGAACGCGAUAAGUGCACCGCCUGGGGAGUAUGCUCGCAAGGGUGAAACUCAAAUGAAUUGACGG
rnacentral:rRNA from 1 species